GUGUUCUGAUAACUGAGUUUCUCACAAAACAAAAUUAAUAUUAUAGAAAGAAAAGCUACUGAUUUAGACUGGUGGCUACAUCAGCAGUAAAUUCGUACUGCCCUUGAAGGUUCUAAUCUACAGCUGUAUUUGGAUGUAUUUCAAUUGUUUUUUUGUAAUCCAGGAGGCACUCACUGAGAUUUCCUGCACACUCCAGAAAACAGUGCUGCCAGUGAUCCAGCCACAGGCUAUGUGGAAAUGGCCCUGCUUGCUGCUUAGACAUUAGUGUGUUAAAGAAAAUUCCAGAACAAACAAGGAUACUUCUGCCCCCAAACAGGGUUAGAAGCCAGAUUGGAAGAGGUCAGUCAGUUUAAUCUAGGUAGUCCUGGAGUUGUGUCGCUACUACAUGCUUAGGCAUUUUGCCCAAGAAUGGCAGAUUGGUGACUCGCCAAUAAUUGUCACAAAUCCUGGAGCCUUGGGAGGACUUUUUCAGGAGAGGGUGGGCCACCAACCAUUUUAGACUUGAUGGGACAGUAGCCAGGAAGCAUUCAAUCUCCCUUGACACAAUUGUCCACUCCCUCCUCAGUUGGCUUCACCAGCCAGGCAAGGCAAAGAUCGAGACACAUGGAUGUCGUCACACUCCCAUGGAUUCUGUUCACAUCCAAACUACAGGGCAAAGAGGAGCUGCAAAUACAGCAUUUAUUUAUUUUAUUAUGUUUACAGUUUUAAGCUGCCCUUCAUUAAAACAAACAAACAAACAAACAAAAAACAACCAGGGUGAUGUACAACAAAUCAGACAACAAAAAUAAUACCAUAAACCCAUAAAUAAUUAAAAUCAGUAAUCAAACACAGAACUGAAAAGGCCAAAAAUAAAAGCAGAAUGGGAUUCUAUAUUUCCCAGCCAAAAGCUCAACCAAACAAAAAGACCAGGAAGGAGGAGACUGGACAGAUCACCUCCAGGAGGAAGUUCCAUAGCCCUGGGCCAAUCACCCAGAAGGCCUUAUUUCAUGUGUAUGACAAUCAAGCUUCAGCAGAUGCCUACACAUCAAGCAACACCCUCCCAACAGAUCUUGUCAGGUAAAUAGAAUCACUUGGGAGAAGAUGAGUACUGGCUUGAUGAGUACAUUUGGUACUGUUAAUGUAUCCAAGUCAUGGUAGAUGUAGUGCUCCACAGAUUUGUCACAGUGGGCCAUGGAGGUGUAAUCAAAUUUACUAGCAUGCUUGCCUUUUCUAGUGCAAAGUCCAGGUAGGCUCUAUGGCAGGGGUAGCUUUAACCCUACUCCCACCAUGGUCCAAAUCUCAUUGUGUUUCCUGCACUUUUUACACCAGAAAAAAUAAAACACAUAGGGGCAAAUGACAUUGUUUAACAUGUGGGUUGUUUUUGUUGGUGUGUAUAUGUGUGUUUUGCAUAUGAUGAAAAAAAAUCAGUUUUUGUGUUGGUUUAAUGUUAGUGAUUUUAUUCUGUUUAGUGUUAAUAUGUUAUUCGGUGAGCAACCUUGACAGGGAAUACAUUCAUUUAAAAAAUAAUAAUAAACACACAACUGAAGCAGAAUGCCUGGUAAGUGUCAGUAUAUAGUCCCAAAUCUUAUACAUACUCAGAAUACAAUGAGGCAAUUCAGGUGACCACUUAUUCCCACCAAUGUAUCUGAUCAUAGAUGGCCCUUUCAAUGUAUAGCCAGCUUGACACUCAACAGUGACAUUAUCUCCAGGCUCAUAUCUUCUUUUCUUCCCAUGGGUUACUCUUCCAUGAGUGAUACUGAGAACUGUAGUGUCAGGUGAAGUUCUUACUGAAAACACAAUUAUAAACAAUACUAAAGCACACUAAAUACACAGAGGAAUCAGAUUAUUUUCCCAGAAUCUUUCACAUUUGAAUUUAAUAAGUUGUAGCAAAAGUUGCAAAGAAUCAUUGAACUCCUUGCAACAAGAGUCCAAUGAAGUGAAAUGAUUAACUCCUAGGAGACAAGCUGGAAGCUAAUCCUUUUCUUCCCCUGACAGAAUGCUUACCAUGUUGAUGUUACCUAUAUUGUUCUGCCUUAGUCAAAUGCAUUGAUUAACUAGCCUCACACAUGUACCCUUUUUCUGUUACUUUGAACAUUAUUUUUUAUAAUUACACACUAGGUGGAUGUAAACAAGAAGUAAUUUAAUUGCUGUCUCACACAUAUAGCUUACCUUCUUCCUUCUUAAACAAUCCCUUUUGACUUUUUUAACACUCUUUGGAGCAAGAGGCACUAGGAGCCUGCCUCUUAGGCAAAGACAUAGGAACAUAGGACCAUAGUAAACUGCCAUAUACUGAGUCAGACCAUUGGUCUAUCUAGCUCAGUAUUGUCUUCACAGACUAGCAGUGGCUUCUUCAAGGUUGCAGGCAGGAAUCUCUCUCAGCCUUAUCUUGGAGAAGCCAGGGAGGGAACUUGAAACCUUCUGCUCUUCCCAGAGUGGCUUCAGACCAACAAUUUAAGAAAUGCAGAUGUUUAGAGAACAAACAGAGGAAGAAAUUGCUUCCUGACAAUAAAAAGACAGUAUGCAGAGGAUGCUGCUCUGAACUGAAGUCUAACAAAGAAACAGUUUUGUCAUGAGAGGGAAGUUUUAAGAUAAGAGUGACACUUUUGAGAUCCAUGACGGAAAUGGCUAUCUUGAAAGAACUCCUAGUGCAGAUCUAUAGGAUCCAGAUGGUACAAAAAGGGGUCACUGGACAUGGCAAAUCAGAAAGCUUUGCCUAGCCAGCUGAUCUUUGCUCGAACAAUCCCCAGAGCUAGCUGCUUAAGCCGCAGGGCUAAAGCAGGAAUUAGACAUGGAAAAGGGACUGUCUGUGACUUCUGCUGUGUAGUGAAAAGUUAAGACUACCCAGCCAUGGUGCUCGCUCUCUCUGCCUUGCUCUGAGCAUCUAUCUACCACCAGCCUGCUUGACUGCUUGAAGCCUGCAUCAUUCCCAAGCCUAGCAAUGAACAAGUCCUUUGAAGCCUUCUCCAUGACUGGUGAGAUGCCUAUUCAACAACUCAGCCUGCUCCCCUCCUCCCUACUAAACACUGCCAUCUCCUUUCCUAAGCCCCUCCCUUCUUUCUUCUCUCUCUGUUUCUCUCUAAAAUGUUUUAUUAGGAUUUGUUAGACAGCUGUAAUUACUGACUGCACAUGCAUACGAACACAUUGGACAGGCAGGCACACUGCACUACACUUUGAAUCAGAAACAUGUUUAAUUUGGAUGAUCUGUUUGAAUUUUAUCUUGAUGAGCAACUUUCUAUAAUAAAUCCCAUUGAACUUUCUGAGUCUGUUUUCCUCUGUCUCUGUUUGCAUGCCCAGAUCCUACAUGGUCACCAUCUCCAAGAACCAAUUCAGUGUAUGUAUGAUGUGACUUUCCCUCUUAGCAUAUACAGAGUGUGAAACCAGGUGUAGUUCACAACAGUGGGCAUUCCCAGUCAUUCAUUUUAGGAUGUUGACACUAGUCCAAUGUAGGAUUUGCAUGCUGAUGGUCUUAUUUGCAAUCCCUGGCAGCAUCUCCAGGUAGGGCUGGGAAAGAUCCCUGCCUGAAACCAUGGAGAGCCGCUGCUAGUCAGUGUAGACAAUACUGAUCGAGCUGGACCAAGGGCCUAAGUAAGUAUAAGGCAGCUUCUUAUGCCUCAAAGACAAGAAGAAUGGUAAUAAAUGGUUGGAAUAGCAGGAGCAGCACAUUAUUUCCACAUAGAAAGCCAAGGGCUUCGUGUCCCUUCUGAGUCCCUGGAGGGGGGAAAGUGCCAGGACUGCAUUCCUGCCUGUCCCUGCAGCAGUACACCACUGUUUAAAAGUGUCCCACGUGGCACUUUGUGCUAUAGUAUCUGGCAAGAUACAUCCCCAUGAUAAGAUUCUUUGAUAAUGUUUACCAAGUCAGAAGUCCAGUUCAGCAAAUAUUGCAUGUCUCCUUGCAACUGGUGCUUUAGUUAGUCUCUUCUUCUUUGCCCUUUAAUUUGAAGUGGCUUCUGCACAAAGAGAGGCCACUAAGGAGCAAGCUGUCUUUCUCCUCUAAGCCUUAUCACUAUAAGGUUUUUUUGUUCAUGGCCCACUAAUGAGAUUUGGUGAGGCAGCCACCUCAGGCAGUGGAUUAGUAAUCUCUGCCAGCCUGCUGCUUCCAGCUCCCUCCUCACUGACCAUUUCAGUGGCAGAUGAGCAGCUGCUUCUACACCCCAGUGAUGGCAGCAGCAGUGGUGUAGCCACUUGUCUGUUCCAUUCCCUCCUGUUUGAAAAGGCAGGAUGGGACAGGACACAGAGCAGAAGGAAGAGCAGGUUAAUUACCUGUAACUAUCUUCCUUCAAAUGGUCAUCUGUUCCUUCUUGCUAUUGGGUUUCCUUUGUGCUUGAGUAGAGGCUUUGGGAAUGUUCCAAAGCUUUUCAUCAGCAGUUUUUUGUAGUAGCCUCCUUUAAGCUUUGAUACGAUUAAAGCCUUCCCCUUCAGUUCAAAGUUCCACAGCAGUUUCCUACAACUUAAAAGGAGAAAGAUAAAGAAACCAGCUGCAGAGGGGAAGAGAGUGGGUGUGUGAAGGCCCAGAUGACUAUUUGAAGAAGGAUGGUUACAGAUAUGCAAUCUGCCAUUCUUCUUCAUGGUCUCUGUGUCUUUCUUACUAUUGGGCUACUAGCUAGCUAACCAACCUGAAUGGUGGGGCAGCUGGUUCCAAAGGCUGUGUUCCAAACAUGCUCGGAGUUCCAAGCCAUAAUGCUGUAUAAAGGAAGAUAGUUGUGCCCACACUGCCUAUCUACAGAGUUUAGUGAGAGAGAUUCCAUGGUCAAAAACUGAAAGUGGAGGUUGACAUGGUAGAAUGGUUGGUGGCUCUCCACAGAAGAGGUUACUUGGCAAUUUCAUAACAGUUUAAUAAUACCUGUGAUAAGUGAUAAUCACAAGUUAUAAUCAUUGCGACAAAACUUGGUCACCUUUCUCGGAUCCACAUUACAGAUGAGUAGGAAGGGAGAUUUGUGAAAGGGGGAAGUUUGAUGCCAGUAGAAGGACCGGGCUGUCCUAAUGUCCAGUGCAUGGAGAAGUCUUUCUGUGCCUGAAGUGGGGUUAGGAUAAAAGACUGGUAAUACAAUGUCUUGGGAAAUGUGAAAUAUUAAGACUAUCUCAGAGAAGAGGUUUUUCAGGUUGGAGGAUGACUUUCUCCAUAUUAAAAUGAAUGGGAUGGGGGGGUGAGGUCUGAACACAGAGUGUCUAAUUCUCCCACUUGAUGUCAUAAUGACCAAAAAUCACAGAUUUCAGAAUUAACAGCUGAAGGUUGCAGGAUGCCAUCAUUUCAAAACAGGCCCCUCAUUAACUGAGAGAGCACCAAAAGGCAGAUCCCUCAUCGGAAGGAUUUUAGGAGCUGAAGGAUGAGACUGUUGAAGACCUUUGAGGAAAUGUUUGAUGAUCUUGUCCAUGGACCACUAUGACCACAAUGAGUGGGCUUUUAGGGAAGAAGAGGACAGGACAGACUCCUUGAGGUGAAGCAGGUAACUUAGAACAACUGAGAGAGGGGGAGAAAAGAUAGGGACAGAUCUAGCAGCAAAGGUGCAGAAACAUUCCCACCUGGCCACAUAAGAUCAGGAAAAUAGAUGACAGCAUAAGAUCUAAUGACAUUUUUGUAUCUUCCAGGCAGUAAGAUGCAAUCUGUGUGUUUGACUGAAGGACCCAGCUGUUUUGUAUAGAACAGCAAGGAUUAGAUGGGAGUUGCGGAGGAAAAUUGUAGAGCAGGAGGCUACUUUAGCAGACAGGGAGAGUCCAAAGUCACCAGUUGAAGAGUGAAGAAGUUGAGUUGGAAAGAGUUGAAGAGUAACUUGCAGAAUGAGAGAAGAGUUCAGCUUGCAGUCAAAGCAGAAGACUUGGAGAAAAAACAGUAUGAGAGAGGCUGCAGAACUAAAGAACUGCAGGCACAGAGGUGUUAAAAUCACUGGCAGAGAGGUGAAAUCUCUGCAGAAAAGAAAUCCCUAAGAACUGGAAAGAACCAAGAACCCGAGGCUGAACUGAGGAAAAAGAACUAAGAGUUGCUAAAGGUGUUUAUCAAGGACUCUAAGGGCUUUGUGACAGUCAGGUUAGUGGAUGCAUUUUUGCCCACAUUUUGUUUGUUCCCUAUGCUCUUUUGGUUGAUGGUUUUGUUUUAUAUGUGCUAAACUUGUAAAGCUCCCUGCUGAAAUAAGAGCAUCUCCUUCUCUGUUGGCUUAUAGGAAGAACCUGAAGAUGUGCCGGUAUCCCCAGGCUUUUAAUUAAAACUAGCUUAAACCAGCAGGGUGACCAGAACCUUAGGUGUAUACUCAUGAGUCAAAUGGGCUGUAACCCAAAGUUUGGCUUUAAAAAAGCCAAAUCUGGCAACAGAGCUGCACGCUAGUACCUGAUUGCUCCCCUUACCCCCUGCCACAGCCUCCCUCACCUCAGAGAUCUCUCCACCCUCACCUGAGCCACACUCCUGCUCCUCCUCUAUAUGGUUGCUUCCAUCCUCCUCACCACUCUUGGUCACUCCUCCAUCCCUUUACUCCAUCCCCCUCACCCCUCUUGGUCAUGGCUGCAGCGUUGCUGGCACCUAUUGGCCAAGCUGCAGCCCCCUAUCCCCAGAGACCUCCCCACCCUCACCCAAGCCCUGCUCCUGCCCACAGGAGCAGCAGCGGUUGACCGGGCCCUUCCUCGCUGCCCCACCGGCAUGGCUGCUUGUUCCCCUCAGACCACUGACAGGCCGGGCCCAUCCCUUGCCUGCCUGCUUCUGCCAAUGGCCUCAGUAGCCCCAGACAGCAGCAGAGGUUGAGUGGGCCCUUCCUUGCUGCCAAUAAGCACCGCCAUGGCUGCUCAUUCCCCUCAGGCUGCUGACAGGCCCUCGGGCCCGUCCCUUGCCCUUCCUUCUUUCUCUUUCCCUCCCUUCUUCUUCUCUUUCUCUCUCCUCCACUCACUCUUCUCUUCUUUCUUUUCCUCUCUUCUUUUCUUCUUCUUCUUCUCUCUCUCUCUCCCCCUUCCUGAGUUAGCAGAUCUUGUUCCCUCAUCUAAUUCACACAAUGGCAGCCUCCUCCUCCUGAAAAAGUACUUUCCUCCCUCACGACCCCUCUCUUCACAGACCCCUGACCACUAUCCUUUUAUAUAUAGACUAGUAUUUUUAAGCCCAUUAUAAUAAUGGGCGCUAGGUUUUUUUAUCCCCCUUUCUUCCUUCUUCCUUUCUCUUGCCCCACAUUUUUUUCUUUUUUCUUUCUAUUGCUCUUCAUUUCUUUCCUUUCCUUCCUUUUCUUGCUCUCCUUUUCCCUCUCUCGGGGGGGGGGGACACCGCUUUACUUUAAUCCCUUUCCUCCCUCUUUUCCCUUCCCUUCCCAGACGUCUUUCCCUUCCCUUCCCAGACGCGGCAGCAAGAGACCCGGCCAGCAUGGCCGCCUGGUGUCGGCGGUCAUGUCUCCCUCGGACAGUUCUGGGCCUGCGCUUCGCGCAGGCCCAGAACAGCCCAGGGAGACAGGGACGCAGACGCCAACAUUCCAAAGCCAUGGACACGCACUUAGCCUUUUAUUAUAUAGGAUAGAUUCCUUUCCUCUACAAUCAAGAUCAUCUUCCGACCAGUAACAGUUGCAUUCCAACUGAACUUAACCAUCACAGGCUCCUCCUCCCUCUCUGCAUAUGGAAUCCCCACUGCCCAAUCACCACAGUGCUUCUGCUCUCACGGGCUCCUUCUCCCUGUCUGCAUAUGGAAUCUCCACUGCCCAGUCACCUCAGUGCUUCUGCUUGCGAACUCUCGCGAGAGCUGCCACACACGGGAUUAGCCACGGGUAUGCCUUAGAGAAUUAUAUAUAUAGAAGAUAGAAGUAAACUUUAAUAUGUUUAUUCAUUGAGAUUUUUUAUCUGUUUUAUGAAUAUUAACUGUUUUAUAUUAAGAACAUAAGAACAGCCCUGCUGGAUCGGGCCCAAGGCCCAUCUAGUCCAGCAUCUGUUUCAUACAGUGGCCCACCACAUGCCACUGGAAGCCUACAGCAGGAGUUGAGGGCAUGCCCUCUCUCCUGCUGUUACUUCCCUGCAACUGGUACUCAGAGGCAUCCUGCCUUUAAGGGUGGAGGUGGCCUAUAGCCCUUCAAUUAGUAGCCGUUGAUAGACCUCUUCUCCAUGAAGUUAUCCAAGCCCCUCUUAAAACCAUCCAGGUUGUUGGCUGUCACCACAUCCUGUGGCAGAGAAUUCCACAAGUUGAUUAUGUGUUGUGUGAAAAAAUAUUUAUAUUUAUAUUUUUAUAUUAUGUUUUAACUGUACACCACCUGGGGAUCUCUGUAUCAGGCAGUACAGACAUACAAUAAAUAAAUAAACUUUUGAUUGAACUAA